GAGUUGGGGGUCUCCGUUUUGUAGAUAGUUAGUAGUCCUAUUUUAGUUGUAUUCCAAAGAGCCCAUGACUGUCCCCUUCCUCCCUCACCGCUCCAUGUGCGUCCCUCCGUCAAAGAGGACGGCCUUCCCCGAAUAGAGACAGACCAGUCUUUGGUCGAGGGUAUAUGAGUAGCUGCACUCCCCUGCUAGAACCUAGAACCUCCAAACAAGCUUUCAAGGUCCAAAGAGCCCAUGACUAUACUAGUCUUU
rnacentral:snRNA from 1 species